rnacentral:lncRNA from 1 species
UAGCACCAUUGGUACUAUAACUCCUAACCAAAUUAUCUUGAGACCCAUUAUUGAAAAGAGCUUGAUCAGAAUGGAAAAGACCUUUGCUUGCAACAAGGUUUUUAUAGUAAUUGUUAUCAAAACUUGUUGGAGUGAGAGUAUCAAGUGGUGCUAAAUUGGUGUCACCACCAGAAAGAGGACAAUUUGAUUUCCUUAAGGUUGCAAAGUUUGUGUCAAUGUUGGUUUCAUUGUAUAUGCGAUUUCUGAAAAAUUGGCACUCUCCUUGGCCUAUGGUGUGUGCACCAGAAAGUACUGUGAGGUCACUUGCAGUUAGACCCUUGGCUGAAAACAUUGUAGUGAGAGUGGAAAGGUCAGAAAAUGGUGAAGGGAUUUGACUAUUUGCUGCACUUUGGCUUGCUGUUCUUGCAUCUCUUCUUCCAAGUGGUACUACCCAUGUUGGUCCUCCAAGCUACAAAUAAAAAAUAAAACUAUUAAUAUGGGUGAAAGUGUAACUCAAGUUUCUCUCAGCGAGAUGGAGUAUAAUUUUUUCUAAUAUGUUUUGCAUCAGAAGAAAGAAAUUGGAAUGGAGUAAUGGACCACUCACCAGAAAUACUCCAUCUCUUGCUGCAAGUGCUAGAAUAUCAGCACAAGAUACAGUGGCAUUGCAAGAAGCUUCAACACUGGUUUUAAUGGUGUCAAUCACUUCGAAACCCCUAGCUGAAUUUUUGUUAGGUGCGGCAUUUUUCUCACCGGUAAAGGUGGCAGUGUCAUCCAAUAAGAUUGAUCCAUCACAUCCCUACAAAAUAAACAUAGAAACGUGAUUAUGCAAUUUUUUAAAAAUAUGGCCCAUAUAUAUAUAAUGCAUAAAUAAAUUAUUUUUGAACAUUAUCUUACAUUAACAAAGCAAUCAUGGAAGAACAAGCGAAGUAUAGAAGCCCCGAUCCGAGGUUCUGUUUUGAUAGCACUAGUCAUUUUAUUGCGCACAAUGGUUUGAAGGCUAGGGCAGGUUGUACCAUAGAAGUUAUUAACAAGUUGUGCAUUUGUAGAACAAGCUAAGAGAGAAAAAAUGGAGAGUAUAACAAAUAAUUUCAUAAAGGUAGCCAUAUUAAUAAAUCUCUAAAUUUUAGAGCUUUAAGCUGCCAAUGGAGUAGCUAAACAAAGUGAGUGAAUUCUGAAGAGACAUGUUAAAGAUUAAGCAAUAUAUAUAGAAGAAUUGUGAGGGUCCAUGCAUGCAUGGAGAUUGGUAUAAGAGUCAGAUUGAGAAGAUAUUAUUUAUGAAAAUAAUAAUUUGUCCCAAUUUUCAAAUUUGUCUGCUCAAUACGCGGUUUAAUUUUUGGGAGCAACUGGUGGAGAAAUUUUGUGAGAUAAGAGUAUGAUGGUUACCCAAGAGUAGUUGACUUAAGCUAUAAUAAUAAAACAAAGGAAAAAGCUGCAAAUAAUGGAAGUUUGUGAGGAAAAGCUCAAAGUAUGAAGUCGUCGUUGCAGGUUCGACAUGCAUGUUUAACGUGGACAAAAGCAUUUCAUUGUACAAUAGUUUUUUCAUAAAACAAAGGUAUUAAUCAAUGAUUAAAAUCCUCUAAUAUACUCGGCCGAUUAAUUCGACCGAUUAAACCGAGAAUUGGUCAGUUUGUCGGUUGAUUUCAUUCCGAUUAUAUUGUAACGUGGUUGAACCGAUUGAAAUGCAUACCACAAUAUGUUUAACCGUUUUUUUCCUUCUUGUUUUUAAUUUUAACUUUUUUAAGUAAAAACUGAAUGUGAAAAUAUCUUAUAAAAGAAAUGAUAUCUCAACUAAGUUGACAAGCGAAAACUAUCAUCUUUCAUUUGUAGCGCUUCUGAAUUUUAAAUUUUAAUAUUUUUUACUUAUUUCGGUAUUUGUCAUCCAAAUCAACCGUGCUUGAACCACAUUAUUAUCAAGAGUUUGGCUGGUCAUGAGAUUUUGAAUGUCAUGGAAGAACAAAUAGACCGGUGCUCUUGUAAUAACUUCAACUUUAUCUCCUUGCAUUUUUUCAUUCAAUCAAGGUAUGCCUAUUUAAUUGUCAAGUAUAAUAGGAUUAAUUUAAGUUUUUUGUCCCCUAUGUUUAAUUACUCACGAAAUUAGUCCCCCAAUUAUAUGAUUUACAAUGUUUGUUCAACUUUUAUUUUACUAACGGUCAAAAAACUUUUAUUUUAUUAAUUAAUAUAUAAUGAGAUGAGAUUGAGAUUGCUUUGUGUGACAUUGUAAUUUAAGAAGGUAUUUAAGAAUUUAUCAAUAAUUAAUUUUUUUUUGACCAACAAUAAUUAAUUAUUAUUUAUGUAUUGGUGAACCAAAAAAAUCCAGCGUGGCAUAUGUUCUUAUUCAAAAAAGAAAUAGCGUGGCAUGCAAAAACUCCAAUCAUCCAUUCAGCACAAGUACUAAUCAUUAACAUUAUAUGACAGUUAUUAGUUUGACCAAUAUUUCACUCAUAGUUGUAUGCAUGGACAUCAACUUGAUUAGAGUUUUUAUUCAAAACGUAAAGAAUUCUAGCUAACACGAGAAAACGCAAAGAGUUUGGGCUAAUUAGUCAAACACAUCUACAUCGUUCUUUGAUUUUUGGUGAUGACAAAUUCAUAUUGCUGAUUAAUUAUUUAUUAUUUUUAAAAUAACCUAUCGACUAUAAUUUCAUCUCUUAAGUGAAUAAAUAAAAAAAUUUAGAUUCAAACACCGACCUUAUAUAUAUAUAUAAUUGGAUACCGAUUAUGUCUUGUAAAUGACUUUUUGGUCAAAAUCAUUUCAUAUCAUUGUCUUAAUUAUACAAAUGGUAUCAUUUUAUAUGAAAAUAUAUCAUUUCAUUGUUUAUAAGAAUCAUACUAAAUUUUUUACAUUUUAUUAUAAAAAAAUAAUCAAUAUUCUCUAUUACGAGUAAUAAAAAUUAAAAAAUAAAUAAAUUUUAUUUCGUUGAAGUUUUUGGAAUACAAGAUUUAGUAAUUAUAAAUUAUAAGCAAUAUAAAAUCAUUUUUUCUUCAAAAAAUAACUCAUUUAACUAUUAAUUUAAAGAUGUAUAAUGUUAACUUGUGCCCUUAGGGCACAUGAUAAGAAUUCCAAUAAUGAAAAUUAUGCAUUGGAAAUUAUGUUAAUUUAUUGUUCAAAAUGUUUAAUAUUAAUUUUUUUUCAUUAAUUUUUACCAUUAGUGACAUGAAAUUAAUGCUUCACAUGUGCCCUAAGGACACAAGUUAACAUGACCUUUUAAAGAUUUGGUGUACUAAUACACUUAAAUUUUCAAAUGUAUCAUAUAAUUUGCCUCGAAUCAAUACAAUACAAAUUGUACUGUGCAAGAUCCGUUAAAAAAAAUUACGAAACAAAUUUUAGGAACAUAUAUUACGGAACAAAUUCUAGGAAUGUAUUAAUUUGUUUUGAACGAAAAUUUCAUGAAGGAUAAUCAUCACAAAUUUCAUGAACGAAAAUUUCAUGAAGCAUACAUUGAAACAAUUUAAAAAAUUAUAUAUGCUAUAUGUUUAACAAACAAUUCAUCUCAUACCCCUUGUUGUGAAUAUUUUCAAUAAACUCGAGAAUUAGUUAAAUAAAUAUUCAACAUCAUGACUAGAUUAAAUUGAAAUAAUAAAAAUACUCCCUCCUGUUUUAUUUAUAAGACUUUUUAAAAAAACAAAUUGGUUCUAUUUAUAAGAAAAAAUCCACUACUUUUAAGAUAUAUUUAUUGUUUAAAAGGUUUUUUAGCCCUUAUUUAAUGUUUGUCCUUUAAAUAUUAGUAAUAGGUAUAUUUAAUAAUGUAGAGAUAUCUAUGAGUGUAUAUUUGUAAAAUCAUUAAAAAGUUGUAACAAUUUAUUAUUGUCUUGGUUUUGAUGUUUAUUUGUGUAUCAUCUAUACAGUCCUUCAUGGAUACAUCACCAUUAAAUUGAAUUCUUUAGAAAUUUACGGAGAAUAAAAAUUAAGUUUUUAAUUUUUGGGGAACUAUACACAAUCAAAUUUUGAUUCCAACAUAAAAUGACUUUUAUCAUUCAUUACUUGAAGUAAAACAAAUACAUGUAUUCCCUUCGUUUCAAAAUGUAAGCAAAAAUGGGUCAACAUAAGUUAUAUAUCUUGUACAAAUUUUGAACCAAAUACAUUAACUUUUGUUGACUAAAUUUUUUCUUACAUUUUGUGAAGGAGGGAGUAUUUGUGAAAAUACAAACAUUCAAAUUAUCCAAAAUGAUAACGCAACAAACAAUACUACUAUUAUCAAUGUGUCUAAGAUCAAGUCACCACAUUGUUUAUUUAAUUGCUUAUAAGCCCUCCAAUAUUCAAUAUCAAUUCACAAGCCUACAAUUCUUUCUGAUCUCCCCAUUAGUCCCAGUGAGAGGACUGAUUUUACUCAGUUUCACCAUAGCAGCAGCAAAGUCUGUAGAAAAAGCAGCCUCAUUGGUACUAUAACUCCUAACCAAAUUAUCUUGAGACCCAUUAUUGAAAAGGACUUGAUCAGAAUGGAAUAGACCUUUGCUUGCAACAAGGUUUUUAUAAUAAUUGUUGUCAAAACUUGUUGGAGUGAGAGUAUCAAGUGGUGCUAAAUUGGUGUCAUUGUCACUAGAAAAAGAACAGUUGGAUUUUCUUAAGGUUGCGAAGUUUGUGUCAAUGUUGGUUUCAUUGUAUAUGCGAGUUCUGAACAAUCGACACUCUCCUUGGCCUAUGGUGUGUGCACCAGAAAGUACUGUGAGAUCACUUGCAGUUAGACCCUUGGCUAAAAACAUUGUAGUGAGUCUGGUUAGGUUAAAGGAUGGUCUAGGGAUUUGGCUAUUUGCUGCACUUUGAUUUGCUGUUCUUGCAUCUCUUCUUCCAAGUGGUACUGUCCAUGAGGGUCCUCCAAGCUACAAAUUAAUUAAUUGAAACAUUGUGUCCAGACAGUGAUGAUGAACCAAAACUAAAAGUAGAAAACAUCGUAAGACAGUGUUUUAUUUGACAAAUGCUCCCGAGAUAUUUUUUAAGCAUUCUAAAAUAAACAAAUUUUCUUUAAAAAAAUUAAAUAUUUUAAUUUACAAUGUAUUCAUUACAUACAUUUUUAUAAAUAUUUACUAUUUAUGGUCCUUAAGAAAUGUCCUACUCGUAAAUAUUUCCCUAUUUUAUAUAUAUUGGUACUUGUUUGUUAUUUCCUUGAUAGAGUGAUUGACAUAAUUCUUCCUUUACCUAAAUAUAUGAGAAGUGAUGUCUCUCUUAUACCGGCAUUAAUUAAUUAAAUAAAAAUCAUACACAUAAAUAUGAAUAGUACUUACACACAUUUGAAUGGUACUUACAUACAUGGAACAUAACACACAUAAUAAACAUUUUCCUAUUAAAAAAUGAACUAAUUUUUGGCCAAAUCGUUGCCAGUUAUAUUAUCUUCUUUUCCAAAUCAAAUUAUUGUUCUAACAAAAACGAAAUUAAGAAAGAAAGAAAUGGAUCACUCACCAGAACUACUCCAUCUCUUGCUGCAAGUGCUAGAAUAUCGGCACAAGAGACAGUGGCAUUGCAUGAAGCUUCAACACUGUUUUUAAUGUUAUCAAUCACUUCGAAACCCUUGACUGAGUUGUUAUUAGGUUGGGCUUUUUUCUCACCGAUAAAGGUGUCAGUAUCAUCCAAUAAAAUUGAUCCAUCGCAUCCCUACAAAAUAAACAAAGAAAUAAAUAGACAUGUGAUUAUAUCUUUAUUUAAAAAUAGAGCCAAUAUAUUUUGUUUCAUAUUUAUAAUGUUAUUUAACGGAUUAUGGAAUUCAGAAUGCAACUUUAUCAUGCUUGUUUUUUCAUGUUUUGAAAUAUAGUUUUCCAUAUUUUUUAAUUCUAAAAAAUAAAUAGUUUUUUCAUGUGUUAGAGGGUAGAGGGUGGAAAUCUAAAUGUUCGGUUUUUGUAGUUAAAAAAAGUGUUCGAUUUUUAUAUAUUUGGCAUAAUUCAUUGUUAUAAAAUCUAUUUGUAAGAUGAAGAGUAUCUCUCUUUAUAAGACUCAAAUCGCAAAAACUAUUUUACCAAAUAGAGUACUACAUAUUGGGGAGUAUAAUUAUACACAUUUUGACAACUUUGAAAGGGAUAAAAACUGUUGACUAUAGAUAUGUAUAUAAUGUAAUAGAACUAUUCAAGACUUUUACUAAUAAAUAUAUCCUAUAUUGUAAGAAUAAGAUAUAAACUGAAAUUAUAUAUAUAUAUAUAUAUAUAUAUAUAUAUAUAUAUAUAUAUAUAUAUAUAUAUAUAUAUAUAUAUAUAAUGCAUUAAUAAAUUAUUUUUUUAACAAUAUCUUACAUUUACAAAACAAUCAUGGAAGAACAAGCGGAGUAUAGAAGCCCCAAUACGGGCUUCUUUUUUGAUAGCACUGGUCAUUGUAUUGCGCACAAUGGUUUGAAGGCAAGGACAAGUUUGGUCAUAGAAGUUAUCAAUAAGUUGUGCAUUGGUAGAACAAGCUAAGAGAUGAAAAAUCGAGAGUGUAAAAAAUAAUUUGGUAAAGGUAGCCAUAUUAUUAAAUCUAUAAGUUUUAUAGCUUUAAGCUACCAAUGGAGAAACCAAACAAAGUGAGUGAAUUGUGAGGAAACAUAUGAAAGACUAACCAAUAUAUAUAGAAGAAUUGUGAGGGUCCAUGCACGCAUGCAUGCAUACAUGGAGAUUGGUAAGAGUCGGAACGAGAAGAUAUUUGUACUCCGUCUCACAAUUAUUGUCUCUUUAACAUUUUUUCUUUUUCUCAAAAUAAUUGUCACUUUACAAUAAUAAUGCAACAUUUAUUACUUUUUUCCACUAUUAUACUCUUAUUUAUUGAAUUUCAUCAAACUUAACUACUCCACUAACUACAAUUAAUAAGGUUGCUUUAAUAAAUACUACUAAUUUUACCAUUGAAAUCAACACAAUUAAUCAUUUCCUUAAUAAUCGUGCAUCAAUAUUUAAACGACUAAUAUUGUGAGACGGAUAAAGUAUUUAUAAAAGAAUAUAUGAUUUUUUUGGUGGAUUUUCACUUUUAAUUAUAUCAUUAAACAAAUUUUUCUAUAAGAGUGUUAUAUUCAUAUUGUCAUUAAAAAAAUUAUAUUAUAUUUGUUAUAUUGUCGGUGUCAUUAAAAAAAAUAAGUAUAGUUUGUUACAAUAUGAAAGUGCAAAAUAUAUAUACAUAAAAUUUUAAUCCAAAUCAAAAUUUAACAAAAACUAUAGUUCAUAAUUUUAACGCAUUAACGCAGUAAAAAGAGCGGACAUACAAACUUUGUACGCUAAUGAAAAUAAUAUUCAUCCCUUAAGAAAAGAUAUAAUUUUCAUCUCAAAAUAGUCUAAUAUACACUUCAAAGACAUCAUUCAUCCCUUAAGAAAAGAUAUAAUUUUCAUCUCAAAAUCGUCUAAUAUACACUUCAAAGACAUUUAAGUCAUACUAAAGCUUCCAUUUUAGUUUCAACGAAUUGAGAAAGAGAUUUUAUUCAACUUUUUUUCAGGAAGGUUUUAUUCUACUUAUUCGCUUGCCAUGCCAACAAAAAGAGAAGAAGUAUAUCCUAUCCUAUAAUAAAACAUCUAAAAGAACUAUUAUAUCUUAUAUGAAAAUCCAUUUUGACAACCAUAUAAACUAAUAAAAAUGGUAAAUAAAACAAAUGCAUCACAUUCAUCUUAUAACAAUGCUUGUUCGGCUUUGAAAUUUUGAUAGUAGUGUAUUGUAUGCAUUAUUGUUGCCACAUAGAGUGAUGAAACUAAAUACAGCUGCUAAAGAAAAAUUCAAAGAAAAUUAUAUUAUCAACAUUUUUUAAAUAUUAGAGAAUUGAUAUUAAAUUAAAUAGAAUUUUACAUUGGCGAUAAAUCUAACAAACAUUUAUUAAGGAGAAUGAUAUUUACAUAGAUAUAAAAAGGCUAAUUUAAUCUAUAAAAAAAUGGAAGGGUAUACUAUAUGUAUAACAUUAGUUAUAACAUUACUGGUAAACAUGGCCAACCAAGUAUUUUUGUCAUAAAAAUCACAACAAAAACAAUAGCCCAGGUGCCUACUUUUGUCUAGAGAAUGAUUGAGAGCAAUAAAUGUCAUUUUUCGUGCUCCAAUUAGAAUUUAUCAAUUAAUGUAAUUUUUCAUGAAGCAUGUGCCAAUAAAGAACGGGGUAGCAGAAUCAUAAUUGCACUUUGUAGCCUUUUAAUCAUGUUUUUAAGGGGUAAUGAUGUCUCCAUUUGGCAUAAUAAGUGGACUAUGCAAUUUGAAGAGAGAUAGACACAUAAAAUAGAUAAUGGAUCUUACUAUUAAUUGAGUCCCACCAUUAUUAAUUACUUUUUAAUUUUUCAAAAAAAAUUUGUGUCUAUAUCUCUCCAAGAAUAAUAAAUUGAGAGGAUUUUAACUCUUUUUUAAGGAGUUAAGAUCUUCUCCAUUUAUUUUCCUCCAUUUAGAGAGGUAAAAACACAUAAAAAGUAAAAAAUAGUUAACGAUGGAAGGACUCACUUAAUGAUAGGACCCACCACCUAUUGUUUGUGUUUAUCUCUCUCCAAAUUGCAUCUUCCAUUUAUUUUUAUAAAUGGAGAGGAUCUUAACCCGUUUUUAAGAUAAAUAGGGAGAUUCAUUUUGGAGGGUUAGGGUUUCUUAUAACAAUGCUUGUUCGACUUUGAAAUUUUGUUAGCACCGAUAUUGCAUGCAUUGUUGUUGCUACUAAGAGCGGUGAAACCAAAUAUAGUUGCUAAAGAAAAAUAUAUUAUCAACAUUUUUUUAAAUAUUGGAGGAUUGAUAUUAAAUUAAAUAGAAUUUGACACUAACAAUAACUCUUACAAACAUUUGUUAAAGAUAAUGUUUUUGGUAUUAACCCUUUGGUUCACAUGGAAAAGGGUCCUUGGUAUUCCGGAGCUCGGUUGAAAGGAAAGUAAAUUCUAACCUAAAAUUGUUUUUUUAGGAGUCGAAUUUAAGUUCUUUUAAACAAUUCAUUUUUGAUGGAGUUUAUUAACUAAUUGACCCCAAUUAUCUGGUUAUUUCUUAAGGAAAAUGAUAAUUAAAUAGAUAUAAAAAGACUAAUUUAACUAUAUAAAAAAAAUGGCAGGACAUACUAUAUGACAUUAGGCACUUAUUAAUAAGUUUAAGGUAGAAAUUUUAUCAUAGAAAUUGUGUAUCCAACCUAUUGAAAUAUUCAAAAGAAAUUCUUUCUACAUAAAAUUUAGCAAUUGUUUUUAUUUUUGAAUCUUUAACAAGCAUCCUUAGAACGCCUGUUAGCAAGACCCUAUGACAUUAGUUAUAUAAACAUUACUUGUAAACAUACCCCGCCAAAAUCCUUUGUCAUAAAAUUUACAACAAAAGCAAUAGCCUAGGUGUCUACUUUUGUAUCAGUAAUGCUAGUAACACUCUCUUUUGAGCACUCUUUAUGAUACUCACUCUCUUAUUGAUUUAAAUCAUUGUGGGUCUACAAUUUAAAAAUUGAAUCAACAUAAAAUGGUGGGACAUACAUUAAUUUUAUCUAAUAAAAGAGUGAGUAAUAGAGAAUGUUGAAAAAUAAGUGUUCAUAGCAUUUCUCACUUUUUUAUAUGGAAUGAUGGAGAGCAAUAAAUAUAAAAUUUCUUUGUGCACCAAUUAGGAUUUAAUAGUUAAUGUAAUUUUUCAUGAAACAUGUGCCAAAGAAAAGUGGUGCGGCAGAAUCAUAAUUGCACAGGUAGCCUUUUAAUAUGUUUUAAGAGGGUUAGGAUCCUCUCCAUUUACGUGUUUCUCCAUUUCUUCAAUUUGGAGAGAUAAAGACAUAUAAAAUCUUGAAAAAAGUAAAAUAUAAUUAAUGAUGGUGGGACCCACUUAGUGGUAGGAUCCACCAUCUAUUUUUUGUGUCUAUCUCUCUCCAACUUGCAAAACUCCAUUUAUUUUGCCAAAUGGAGAGGAUCUUCACCCGUUUUAAGGGGUGUAUUGAAUCAUGAUUCUAAGGGAUUUUAAAAAACUUUUUUAUCAUGAAAAAGUCUUGUGGUAUUCAAUCAAGACUCUUUCCAAUUUAAAAAAAGUUUUGUGUUAUUCAAUCAAGAUUCUUUGUCAUUUAAAAAAAGUCUUGUAAUAUUCAAUCAAGACUCUUAAUCACUUAAAAAAAGUCUAGUGGUAUUCAAAAUCAUUCAAAUUUCGAAGGAUUGUUUAAUAAAUCAGAUUUUGAUGGAUUUUGUGGAAUUUUCUAGUGAAAUUUUAGCAUGAAAAAGUCUUUCAUGAAAACAUAAGAUUUCUUAACAUUGUUUUUUUCUUUUAAGAUUUUACUAUCUCUCACUCUCUCCUCCCUUCUCUCUUACUCUCUCUCUCUCUCUAGCUCUCCCGUAAAAAACCUUUCUCUAGCUCUCCCGUAAAAAAUAUCUCUCUCUCUGAUUCCUUCACUCUCUCUCUCUAGCUCUAACUCUCCCGUAAAAAAUAAAAUAAAAUAAAUAAAAGAGUCUUUAUUGAGAUUUUGUAGCUCUAGCUCUCCCGUAAAAAAUAAAAUAAAAUAAAUAAAAGAGUCUUUAUUGAGAUUUUGUGAAAGAGAGUGUGUUAUGAUAUUUUUUUUCAAUUAUUUCUUAAAAUUCAUAAAAUCUGUUGAAAUCUGUUGAAAUCCAUAAAAUCAUUUCAAAUCCUUUAAAAUCUUAUUAAUUAAAUCCAUUGAAAUCCUUAAUAGUUUUUUAAAAUCAUCAAAGUAAUCAAAAUCUUACAAAGUCUUUUAAAAUCCUCAAUACUUUUUUAAACAAAAAUUGUCCUUUAAAAUCCUAAUCCAAUACACCCCCCUAAGUCUUGUUAACGAAUGCUUUCAUGACACUUUUUAAACGUUCUAAAUUAGAAAGUUAUUCUUGAAAAAAGUCAAACAGUUCAUUUUGCAUGCAUUAAAUACACAAAUUUUCAUAAAAAAGUUAUUACUUUAGACUCUUAAAGAGUGUCUCGGGUGCACUCGUUAACAUUUCCCUAUUGUUUUUAAGAUGAAUAAAGAGAUUGAUUGAUUUUGGCGGGUUAGAGUUUCUAAUGGUACCACCAGACUGCAUUUCAUUUAUAUUAAGAUAAGACAAGAGGAAGAGGAUGUAGUACCAUUUUUUUAUUCAAUUUUAAUCUUUUUAGAACUAUCAUGUAAAACCACUGAUGCCUCUAAAAUAAUCGACUCUAGGUGGUCACUGAUCUUGUCCAAGCUUAGAGUGCUCAUCACAUAUUGAUCCUAUGUUUAUGAGAUUUUGCUGGGUUCAUGAUAAACUUAUAAUUUAGGCUCUAACUAAUAAGUAGUGUAAAAAAUUUGAAUUUCAAAAAUGUAAAAAUAAUGUACUUGAAGAUGAUACUUCUUAUUUUAUUAAGAAAUAAUAUAAUUAAAACGACGUAGCAUGUUCUUACCCAUAUAAUAAAAAGAUAGCGUGCCAUGCAAAAACUCCCAUUAUCCAUUCAGCAUAUAUAAGUUCUAUACUAAUAAUCAUUAACACUAUAAUAACAUUUUAUAUUGGACCAGUUGUUAGUUUGACAAAGUUAUUCACUAGUAGUAGCUGUAUGCAUGGAAAGCAACUUGAUUAGAGUUGAGUUAAUUAAUUAGUCAAACACAUCUUCGUCGUUUUGUUAUUUUUUGGAGCUGACAAAUUAAUAUUGCUGAAUUUUUCUCUAAUCGGUCGCCGACUUAUGUCUUGUAAAUGGUUUUUUUGGCAUAUGGUCAAACUCAUUCAUUUUUUCCAAGGAUCAAAAUCAUUUCAUAUACUCCCUCCAUUUUAAAAUAAAUGAUUUAGUUGACUAUUACAUAUAACAAUAUAUAUCUUUGACCAUGCAGCCUAUCAUUUCCCCUAUCACUACUAAUGAUGAGAUUUUAGGGCCAGAUAAAAGAAAGGUUCACUUCACUUCUGGUCCUAAGAAUUUGUCUGCUGCCUGUUUGAAAGAUGGUAAAAUAUUGAGUAAGUAUUGGGGGGAAGAGGACACUGAUACUACUGAUGGCACAUUGGAACCUGAUACUGACCAUGAGGUUGAUACAGACCUGCAACAUUCUCAUGAAGCUGGUUUUAUUAAACUAGGCAGGAAAGGCCGGAAGAAAGCUGCUAAAAUCUUAGAUGGUAAAAACUCUGUCAGAAUUUCAACUAAAUAUAAGAAGACUAGUGUUCGCCUUAAGGACCAAGCAUGAAGUGCAUCCUUUGGACUUUUAGGGGAUUUGUCUUGUAAAUGGUUUUUUUGGCAUAUGGUCAAACUCAUUCCAUUUUUUCCAAGGAUCAAAAUCAUUUCAUUUCCGAAAAUGUUAAUUUGUGCCCUUAAGGCACAUGUUAAGGAAAUUAAAAUGGAAAUUUUGUUUAGGAAAUUGUGUCAAUUUAUUCUUCUAGAGAUUAAAAAUUAAUGUUUUGUAAUAAAUAUUUACUAUUUAUAGAAUCCUUAACAUAUGCCAUAAUGACACAAGUUAGCAUGACCCUUUGAUAUUUAAUAUUUUAAAUAUAAUCAUCAAAACAAUUCUAGUAAAGGCAUACUAAAAUUAAAAUAUUUAAUUUAUUUAUCACUAUAAAUGUAUUUUCUUCUCAAUAAUUUGGUUGAUAAUGGAUCGAGCUGAAUCGAACUUAGUUCAUUCAUCAAUGAUUGCAGCCAGUUCGCUGACAAGCAGCCAAUAACCCUGCAACAUAUUCUACCUCACAGUCAGAUAGAGCAAUCACCAAUUAUUUAUUGGAAUACCAAGAUAUUGGUGCACCCUGAAGAUUGAAGAAGUAUCCAUUUGACUUCUCAAAUGAAAUUCCAGCUUUCCAUUCAUUUGAGAAAUAUGAAAUUAAAUUCCAUAAUGUAUUAUUGUACCAUUAAUUUUAUCAGGAUAAGUUUUGCUGCAGGCAUGCGAGAUUUCAUAGGACUUCUCAUGAACCUACUAGCCAAUCCUACUGCGAAACAAGUAUUUGGCUUCUUUUGGCAGAAUUAUUUUAGAGAACCAAUAACCUUUGAACAUAGUUGGCUCAACUGGUUCUUCAUCACUUGCUUCUUCUGUUUUGAUCCUUGUUUCAGCUUGUGUAACUGCUGGGUUGUAUUCAAUCGUUUCAAAUUUCCUUAAUAUUUCAGUAGCAUACUUCACUUGGUGCAUAACUAGACGCUUUGAUGUUUCCAUAAAUUCUAUCCAUAGAAAUUAGGCUAGUUUUAUAUACACCAUGGUCAACACUACAUUCAUUAAAUCCUUGUUGAACGAAGAAUUUGUCAAGCCUUUUGGUCCAAACUCUUGAUGCUUGUUUCAAGCCAUAAAAAGCUUUAUGCAGUUUAUACACAUUUUCUUCUUUGCCUUUUAUCUCAAAUCCUGGAGAUAGCUUCACAUACAAUUUCUUCUAAUGGACCAUUCAAGAAAGCUGAUUUCACAUCCAAGUGAAAUAGAGGCCAUUUCCUAGUACAAGUUAACGCAAUAACUAACAUUAUAGUGUUACGCCUAGCAGGGCCGUCCCUAUAUAUUUGGAGCCUCGGUUCUCAAUCAAAAAUAGGCUCCUAAUAAAAUAAAAAUAUAAUUUUUUUAAAAAAGCAAUCAUCUAUUUAUAUUGAAAAUAAGAUCCGUAAAAAUAAACAUACAACUUCAAGCUAAUAUCUUUAUCAAUCUUCUUUCUUCAAAAAAAAUCUUUAUCAAUCUUCUACUUGUAAAAAAAAAUCUUUAUCAAUCAUCUAGGUUGUUAAUUUUCCUAGUUAAUUUGCACACAUGUAAAAAUAAAAGGUUUAUAAUGUUUUAUUUGAUAGAAUAAUUAUAAUGUUUGUUCUUUAAAAAAAAUUAUGAUGAUUGUUGUUAGAGAAUUAAAGCUUUGCUAUUUUAUAGGAUAAGUAUGGACGAAAAAUUACAAAUAAUGCUCUAAAAAAAUUAUAUUGUGUUUUUAUUUGUAAAUAUAUAAUCUAAUUUUUACCCAAAAAAAAUAGAGUAUUGAGGAUAGACGAGACUCAAAUUAUAAAAAUUAAUAAAAGAAAAAAAGGAAAGAGAAAAAAGGGAUAGAAAAAUUAAUCAAAGAAGAAAAACUAAGUAAAGGAAAAGAAAAAUCAAUCAAAGAAGAAAGAAGAAGAAAAGCUAAAGAAAAAUCAAUCAAAGAAGAAAGAAGAAGAAAAGGAAACGAAAUAUUAAUAAAAAUAAAAAGGGAAUCCUAGUGGCUGUUGAACACAAUUGUGAAAUGUUUGUCGCGCUAUUUAUAUAUUAUGUUUUUGUAUGCAGUAAACACAAAAAUAAAAUAUUUGGGCCUCAAAAAUUGGAGGCCCAGUUCAGUAGAGCUGUUUGCACCCCCCUCAAGGACGGCCCUGACGCCUAGCUAUUGGAGAGAAUACUUCAUAGUAGUUGAAAAAAGUAGUAAAAUUUAUCAGAGAAUAAAAUGAGUCUUCACGUAAUAAAACUUGUAUUUUUAAGAUGAAAAAAUAUAUUUUAUUUUAAAAUAAUAAUAUUCAUUGUGACUUUACUUAAAAGGUGCAUUUUCUCAAAUGUAUAUUUUCAUUUUAUGAGAAAAGAGUGCAUAUUAUAACAUGUUCAAGUAUGAAAUUAGCCACAAUUAAACUCUAAUUUUUUUUCAUUAAAAUAAAUAAGAAUGAGGAGUUUUUCUACUUCUUGGCUUGUUAUGUUAAUAGAUUUCUCAUAAAGAAUUUCCUUAAAAAAAAAUAUUUCUCAUAAUGAUUGUUUGUAUGAUUAAAAAAUAUCUAACACAUUUCAUCCCCCGGCUACAACACCUUGUUAUCUCUGGCAUCAAGCUCCUACCAACCAAAAAAUCCAUUGCACAACCAUCAUUCCAUUAACUUCCAUUUCCACAAUCAUAACAAAAACUUAGGAAGUUCCAACAUAUAAAGACAACAUGAACCAUCUACCUAGCUCUACACACUUUCCUUACAAUGGAAAAAAAAAAUGCAAGAUUUGACUCCAAUAUAAAAUUACUUUGGUCCAUUCAUUACCUGAAGGAAAUUAAACAAAUAACAUAUAUAUAACAACUUUCAUGUAUUUGUGGAACUACAAACAUUCAACUUAUAAAAAAUGUAAGAGCAACAACAAUACUACAAUUGCCAAUGUGUUCAAGAUCUAGUCAACCUUUAUGACUUAGACCUUAUAAUUAAUCAAUCCCACAAAAAUCUUUAUUCAAUUGCUUAUAAGCCCUCCAAUUCAAGAUCAAUUCACAAGCCUACAAUUCUUUCUAAUCUCCCCAUUAGUCCCAGUUAGAGGAUUAAUUUUACUCAGUUUCACCAUAGCAACAGCAAAGUCUCUUCUAAAAGUAGCACCAUUGGUACUAUAACUCCUAACCAAAUUAUCUUGAGACCCAUUAUUGAAAAGAGCUUGAUCAGAAUGGAAAAGACCUUUGCUUGCAACAAGAUUUUUAUAGUAAUUGUUGUCAAAAUUUGUUGGAGUGAGAGUGUCAAGAGGUGCUAAAUUGGUGUCACCACCAGAAAGAGGACAAUUUAAUUUCCUUAAGGUUGCAAAGUUUGUGUCAAUGUUGGUUUCAUUGUAUAUGCGAUUUCUGAAAAAUUGGCACUCUCCUUGGCCUAUGGUGUGUGCACCAGAAAGUACUGUGAGGUCACUUGCAGUUAGACCCUUGUCUGUAAACAUUUUGGUGAGAGUGGAAAG